rnacentral:lncRNA from 1 species
CAGCAAAGCAUCUCAUGUCCACCGCAAAACGUUUGCGGUAUAUGAUCCUUAUCCAAUAGGGUCCACGGAGUACUACAGAGACAUCAAUGGGUAAGAGAGAGCUGGGAACGAUUCCAGGUCCGCUUCUCCCUGCAGCUCCAUGGAAACUUCCACCGAGUGGACUUGGAGCAGGAGAAGGAGAAGCAACAGCACUCCCUGAGGCAGACUGGCCAACAGCAUUUGGAGCUGCUAAAGUUGAAGGUUGAGUUUGUUGCGUCUGAUUUGAUUGUCUGGAAGUCGCUGUAGCAGGUACGACAGUCACGCCAGUGGCUGAACUAGCUCGGGCAGGGCGAGUAGCAGCAGCUAACGCAGUCAAAGGCCCAGCAGUAAGGCGAAUGCAAUCCAGAAGAGAUUCUACCUCUCCACCAUUUAUGAAAUCCUCCAAGAACUGUACAAGAAUAACCCACAAUAAGCAAAAUUAUAUAUAUAGAGUAAAAACUCUAUAAAUUAAUAAUGUUGGACUAUGGUAUUUUAUUAAUUUACAAAAAGUUUCCUUUUUAGAUUUUUUCUUUUUAAAAUAUAUUUUUCCAAAAUAUUUUCAUGUAUAUACAUUAAUUAAAAGUUUGGAAUUUGACAUUCAUAUUGUUUUUAUUAUAUUAUUUGGUGUAUAUAAUAUGUUUUAUAGAACUUAAAUGUGGUUUUAGAUAUAAUUUUACUAAAUCUCAUCAAAAUAUAUUAAAUGUUAAUAAAAUAUUAAGAUCAUUCCAUUGUUAAUAUAAAAAAAACAAUAAAUGGUUUGUUUUUACUUAUAUAAAAUGUAUAUAAGUAUAUAAAUAAUCAGUUCAUAAUUUUAAUGGGACCAUAUAUUUACAUAUGUUUUUUUAACUAUUCUUUUAUUAUUUUAUCGAUUUGUAUUAUAUUUUGAACCGGCCCAAUGGGACAGUAGAAAUUUAUUAAUUUAUGGUGUUUAUUAAUUUAUUAAUUUAUGGUAUUUAUUAAUUUGGGAGUACUAAUUUAUAGAAUUCUAUUGUACAUACCUCUUAAGAGUAAAAAGUAAUUCCUAUGAAAUACUCACCUUGGUAUGUGGCCAGUGUUGGUCAGGAGAGACGUGCAUGGUGCAUUCAUCUUUACCUGAUUCCCACUCCACAACAAAACGAGCCAAAAUGCCCGAACCAAAGCUAAACCACAGGCUCGUCAAUCCCACUGCCUCAAUCUUGAAAGCCCUCCAUCUAUCAACCGCCUCCCCACCGCCUUUCCCUCCAGCAGGUCCUUUAACAGCGUGAUUAGCACCAAGGGUCCACGGAGUACUACAGAGACAUCAAUGGGUAAGAGAGAGCUGGGAACGAUUCCAGGUCCGCUUCUCCCUGCAGCUCCAUGGAAACUUCCACCGAGUGGACUUGGAGCAGGAGAAGGAGAAGCAACAGCACUCCCUGAGGCAGACUGGCCAACAGCAUUUGGAGCUGCUAAAGUUGAAGGUUGAGUUUGUUGCGUCUGAUUUGAUUGUCUGGAAGUCGCUGUAGCAGGUACGACAGUCACGCCAGUGGCUGAACUAGCUCGGGCAGGGCGAGUAGCAGCAGCUAACGCAGUCAAAGGCCCAGCAGUAAGGCGAAUGCAAUCCAGAAGAGAUUCUACCUCUCCACCAUUUAUGAAAUCCUCCAAGAACUGUACAAGAAUAACCCACAAUAAGCAAAAUUAUAUAUAUAGAGUAAAAACUCUAUAAAUUAAUAAUGUUGGACUAUGGUAUUUUAUUAAUUUACAAAAAGUUUC